rnacentral:rRNA from 1 species
UUGGAUCCUGGCUCAGGACGAACGCUGGCGGCCCGCCUAACACAUGCAAGUCGAACGAGAGAUGAGGAGCUUGCUCUUCAAAUCGAGUGGCGAACGGGUGAGUAACGCGUGAGGAACCUGCCUCAAAGAGGGGGACAACAGUUGGAAACGACUGCUAAUACCGCAUAAGCCCACGGCUCGGCAUCGAGCAGAGGGAAAAGGAGCAAUCCGCUUUGAGAUGGCCUCGCGUCCGAUUAGCUAGUUGGUGAGGUAAUGGCCCACCAAGGCGACGAUCGGUAGCCGGACUGAGAGGUUGAACGGCCACAUUGGGACUGAGACACGGCCCAGACUCCUACGGGAGGCAGCAGUGGGGAAUAUUGCACAAUGGGGGAAACCCUGAUGCAGCGACGCCGCGUGGAGGAAGAAGGUCUUCGGAUUGUAAACUCCUGUUGUUGAGGAAGAUAAUGACGGUACUCAACAAGGAAGUGACGGCUAACUACGUGCCAGCAGCCGCGGUAAAACGUAGGUCACAAGCGUUGUCCGGAAUUACUGGGUGUAAAGGGAGCGCAGGCGGGAGAACAAGUUGGAAGUGAAAUCCAUGGGCUCAACCCAUGAACUGCUUUCAAAACUGUUUUUCUUGAGUAGUGCAGAGGUAGGCGGAAUUCCCGGUGUAGCGGUGGAAUGCGUAGAUAUCGGGAGGAACACCAGUGGCGAAGGCGGCCUACUGGGCACCAACUGACGCUGAGGCUCGAAAGUGUGGGUAGCAAACAGGAUUAGAUACCCUGGUAGUCCACACCGUAAACGAUGAUUACUAGGUGUUGGAGGAUUGACCCCUUCAGUGCC